ensembl:snoRNA SNORA70 Small nucleolar RNA SNORA70
CUGCAGCCAAUGAAGCCAACCGUGCUGUCUCCCCAUGGAGGGUCUGAUGUGCAACGGUGGCAAACAGUGGCCUCCUCGGUAGUGUAUGCAGCCUGUUGCUUAUAUGGGUUGCCUUACAGGACCUUGGACAUAGCC